CGGACGGGUGAGUAACACGUGGAUAACCUACCUAUAAGACUGGGAUAACUUCGGGAAACCGGAGCUAAUACUGGAUAAUAUAUUGAACCGCAUGGUUCAAUAGUGAAAGACGGUUUUGCUGUCACUUAUAGAUGGAUCCGCGCCGCAUUAGCUAGUUGGUAAGGUAACGGCUUACCAAGGCAACGAUGCGUAGCCGACCUGAGAGGGUGAUCGGCCACACUGGAACUGAGACACGGUCCAGACUCCUACGGGAGGCAGCAGAA
rnacentral:rRNA from 1 species